rnacentral:rRNA from 1 species
AUUGCCUUAGUAGCGGCGAGUGAAGCGGCAAAAGCUCAAAUUUGAAAUCUGGCUCUUUCAGAGUCCGAGUUGUAAUUUGAAGAAGGUAUCUUUGGGUCUGGCUCUUGUCUAUGUUUCUUGGAACAGAACGUCACAGAGGGUGAGAAUCCCGUGCGAUGAGAUGAUCCAGGCCUAUGUAAAGUUCCUUCGAAGAGUCGAGUUGUUUGGGAAUGCAGCUCUAAGUGGGUGGUAAAUUCCAUCUAAAGCUAAAUAUUGGCGAGAGACCGAUAGCGAACAAGUACAGUGAUGGAAAGAUGAAAAGAACUUUGAAAAGAGAGUGAAAAAGUACGUGAAAUUGUUGAAAGGGAAGGGCUUGAGAUCAGACUUGGUAUUUUGUAUGUUACUUCUUCGGGGGUGGCCUCUACAGUUUAUCGGGCCAGCAUCAGUUUGGGCGGUAGGAGAAUUGCGUUGGAAUGUGGCACGGCYUYGGUUGUGUGUUAUAGCCUUCGUCGAUACUGCCAGCCUAGACUGAGGACUGCGGUUUAUACCUAGGAUGUUUGGCAUAAUGAUCUUAAGUCGCCCGCC